ACAGAGGGGGCAAGCGUUGCUCGGAAUUACUGGGCGUAAAGGGCGCGUAGGCGGGAUGGCAAGUCGGUCGUGAAAUCCCUCGGCUCAACCGAGGAACGUCGAUCGAUACUGCUGUUCUUGAGGAUUGCAGAGGAGACUGGAAUUCCCGGUGUAGCGGUGAAAUGUGUAGAGAUCGGGAGGAACACCGGUGGCGAAGGCGGGUCUCUGGGCAAUUCCUGACGCUGAGGCGCGAAAGCGUGGGGAGCAAACGGGA
rnacentral:rRNA from 1 species